AUUGAACGCUGGCGGAAUGCUUUACACAUGCAAGUCGAACGAUGAUACCUAGCUUGCUAGGUUGAUUAGUGGCGAACGGGUGAGUAAUGUAUCGGAACGUAUCCAAUAAUGGGGGAUAACUAACCGAAAGGUUGGCUAAUACCGCAUACGCCCUACGGGGGAAAGCAGGGGAUCUUCGGACCUUGUGUUAAUGGAGCGGCCGAUAUCUGAUUAGCUAGUUGGUGAGGUAAAGGCUAACCA
rnacentral:rRNA from 1 species